UAUCCCCCGCGUGUAGAAAUACUAGCAUAUCAAUAAGCGGAGGAAAAGAAACUAACAAGGAUUCCUUUAGUAACUGCGAGUGAAGAGGGAAGAGCUCAAAUUUAAAAUCUGGUAGUUCCUGACUGCCCGAGUUGUAAUCUAGAGAAGCAUUAUCCGCGCCGGACCAUGUACAAGUUUUCCUGGAAUGGAGCGUCAUAGAGGGUGAGAAUCCCGUCUUUGACAUGGGCUACCGGGGCUUUGUGAUGUGCUUUCCACGAGUCGAGUUGUUUGGGAAUGCAGCUCUAAAUGGGUGGUAAAUUCCAUCUAAAGCUAAAUAUUGGCGAGAGACCGAUAGCGAACAAGUACCGUGAGGGAAAGAUGAAAAGAACUUUGGAAAGAGAGUUAAACAGUACGUGAAAUUGUUGAAAGGGAAACGCUUGAAGUCAGUCGCGUUUGCUAGGAAUCAACCUUGCAUUUUUGCUGGGUGUACUUUCUGGUCAACGGGUCAGCAUCAAUUUUGAUCAGUGGAAAAAGUUCAGAGGAAUGUGGCACCUCCGGGUGUGUUAUAGCCUUUGUUCGUAUACACUGAUUGGAAUUGAGGAACUCAGCAUGCCGUAAGGCCGGGUCAUUGACCACGUUCAUGCUUAGGAUGCUGGCAUAAUGGCUUUAAUCGACCCGUCUUGAAACACGGACCAAGGAGUCUAACAUGCCCGCGAGUGUUUGGGUGGAAAACCCGGACGCGUAAUGAAAGUGAAGGUUGAGAUCCCUGUCGUGGGGAGCAUCGACGCCCGGACCAGAACUUCUGUGACGGAUCCGCGGUAGAGCGUGUAUGUUGGGACCCGAAAGAUGGUGAACUAUGCCUGAAUAGGGUGAAGCCAGAGGAAACUCUGGUGGAGGCUCGUAGCGAUUCUGACGUGCAAAUCGAUCGUCAAAUUUGGGUAUAGGGGCGAAAGACUAAUCGAACCAUCUAGUAGCUGGUUCCUGCGAUUUUUCUCCCCCUCAGAGAAA
rnacentral:rRNA from 1 species